GCCCGGUUGGCGAAAUUGGUAGACGCACUUGACUUAGGAUCAAGCGCCGAGAGGCAUGGGGGUUCAAGUCCCUCACCGGGCACCA
rnacentral:tRNA from 1 species